rnacentral:ncRNA from 2 species
UUAUUUAUUAAAGAAUUAUCUUGUAUAAGUUCAAGAAUAUGGCUUGAACGUCUCUACCUGGCUGCCGUAAAUAGCCUGUCUACAAGGGGCAACGAUUCAGGC